rnacentral:rRNA from 1 species
AGAAUCAACGCUGGCGGCGUGCCUAACACAUGCAAGUCGAACGAGAAAGGGGAGCAAUCCCUGAGUAAAGUGGCGACCGGGUGAGUAACACGUGACUAACCUACCCUCGAGUGUGGAAUAACAUCGGGAAACCGAUGCUAAUACCGCAUAACAUCGGCGCUUUUAAGAGAUGCCGAUCAAAGGAGCAAUCCGCUUGAGGAGGGGGUCGCGGCUGAUUAGCUAGUUGGCGGGGUAACGGCCACCAAGGCGAAGAUCGGUAGCCGGCCUGAGAGGGCGCACGGCCACACUGGAACUGAAACACGGUCCAGACUCCUACGGAGGCAGCAGUGGGGAAUUUUGCGCAAUGGGGGAAACCCUGACGCAGCAACGCCGCGUGGAGGAUGAAGCCCCUUGGGGCGUAAACUCCUUUCGACCAAGACGAUAAUGACGGUACUGGUGGAAGAAGCACCGGCUAACUCUGUGCCAGCAGCCGC